GAUUUAUUCUAAUUUUGUGGACUAGCAUAUUUCGUUUGUGUUAAAAGGUUCCGGAUUAGUUCGACUAUCAAAUUUAUCGGAGUAUUUGUUUAGACCCAUUUGGUUAAUGAUCACCAUUUUGUGAUGGGUCAUUUUGAUGCACCUAAUUUUUAGUAUGUAUUUUGUUAAGUGUGGGUCUGGUGCUAUAUGAUUAAUUUGGACCCAUAAUGGGCUGGGCCAUUUUAUAAGCACAAGAGGAAAUCCUACUCCCAUCCUCAUAUAUAUGUGUGUGUCUAGCCCAUUGAGAUACACGGCUGUAGAGUGAAAAAGAGGAAAGGGAGCAGCUACUCCUCUCUAGAAAUAUCUGGUGCUUUUGUGAGGAUUUCAUCAUCUCCAGUCAAAACAAGAGCAAAUUCCCUUAGUCACUCAAGCUUCCAUGGCGUCUUCAUCUUCAGAUUGGGCUAUGGUUGAGUGCUCCAUUUGUUUAAUCCCUCUCAAAGGAAGAAGUGUUGGGACGUCUUUCGUGCUCACGUCGUUCUUCGGUUUUUCUCGUUUAAAACUUCUCGUGUUUUCAGAUUAAAGCUGCUACCUGUUGCCGUUUGCAAGCUAAUUGGGUGUCCUUAGCAUAAACAAAUAAAACUCUGUUUUAUGUUGGUUUUGUCCUUUUCUAACCGAUUAUGGUUUUGGUUGAGUACCUUGAUUGGAUUAGUCUUUGACAAAAAAAGGGGUAUUUAUACCUUGUGAAAAAAUUUUACCACGUGUUGGCAUUCAUGGUGUGUUGGCGUAACCAUGAGAAAGAUGGCUUUCUUUC